UCUGGAGAUUCGGGCUAAGAACUAGAAGGAAGAGGUCCCUCUCCGAUGGGACAGGGGCCGGGAUACAAGUUGUGGCUCAAACACUGUAAAUCCAAGGAGCUUUUCCCCCGGCAAACUGAUUUAUGACCACAAGCCGGGCAGCUGCGGAACUGGUCAGACCGUAUAUGCCCACGAGUGGCAUUGCUGGAUCAUAUGGCAAUGGAGAAAGAAACGGCAAAGCAGGCUACUCUGUGAAACAUGAAACACUACCACCAUCUAGUGGGGAAAAUCCUGACUGUUCUAUAAGCAAAGCCUAAGUUUAAU